rnacentral:rRNA from 1 species
GAUGAACGCUAGCUACAGGCUUAACACAUGCAAGUCGCGGGGCAGCAUGUAUCUGGCUUGCCAGAUACGAUGGCGACCGGCGCACGGGUGAGUAACGCGUAUCCAACCUGCCCAUAACCACGGCACAGCCCGUCGAAAGGCGGAUUAAUGCCGUAUGAGGUUCUCAGCAGGCAUCUAACGAGAACGAAAUGUGAAGGAGAAGGAUGGGGAUGCGUCUGAUUAGCUUGUUGGCGGGGUAACGGCCCACCAAGGCGACGAUCAGUAGGGUUCUGAGAGGAAGGUCCCCCACAUUGGAACUGAGACACGGUCCAAACUCCUACGGGAGGCAGCAGUGAGGAAUAUUGGUCAAUGGGCGAAGCCUGAACCAGCCAAGUCGCGUGAGGGAUGACGGUCCUACGGAUUGUAAACCUCUUUAGCCGGGGAGUAAAGUGAGCGACGUGUCGCUCAUUGAGAGUACCCGGAGAAUAAGCAUCGGCUAACUCCGUGCCAG